rnacentral:lncRNA from 10 species
AAAGGUAGAGAGGGAGAAGUGACGAUGGUGAUCGUUGCUGCCGCGGCCGAUAUGGAACCCAAGCAGUGGCGAAGGGAAUCGCAAGGCUCUUCCCUGACCAUUUUCUACUGUCCCUGCGCGAGGUGAGGGCCCCGGCUCGGCCUCUGCAAAACUUUGGGGCGCUGGCGCGGAGGAGGAGACAGGAUUUCUCCCGUGACUUUUGUAACUGCGUCAGGGCAAGAUGGCGCUGGGUCUCUUUGGGGCGCGGGGGGAGAGGCACGUCCACCGCCGCAGCGCAUGUGACCGGGCUGCAUUCCUGUGGGGUUUGGCUCCGACCCAGGCCGGGGCGGGGGAGGGGACAGGGCUUGGGCGGAGGAGACUGUGGUGCGGUCGGCGUUGGCGGCCUGAAGAGGAAGAGAUGACUGUUGGAAAGCGUUCCCCUCCCCCAUACGGCAGAACAGCUGCGGCUCCCAGGGGAAAGCCCCCGCAGGACAGUCCUCGUGGGGUGUGACGGCUGUUGGUGGAGAAGGUUUGGCGCCCUAUUUUCUUAUCUGCCUUUCUCCCCGCAAAGUAUACUUAUGUAAGGUGGUAGUUCCCUGACGUGGGACUCGGAAUCAACUAGGAGUCCUUGAGGGCCUCUGGGAGGCCUAGCGAGGGGUAGACCAGCUUCUGGGGGUACAACGUCAAGGAGGAUCGAUUACUUUCUGAGGAAACAGUUUCUCAGAUUGAAAUAGAAAAGUAUUUCCAAAGUUUGGAAACAAAUUUAAAGGUGUAAAUAACACCCAGGAACACUUUAAUUGCUUUGAAAAGGCAUAAGCAGCCAUCUGAAUUUAAGGGCCCUUUUCAGACUCUUCCUUCCUCCUGUGAUUCCUGUUCUUUAUUUCAGUUUUCUGUCUGUACAUCCCUUAAGAAUAUAGUUUUGUCGGUGGGAUUCGCUCUUUUGUGCCCAGGCUGGAGUGCAGAGGCGAGAUCUCGGCCCACUGCAACCUCCGCCUCCCCGGGUUCAGGCGAGUCUCCUGCCUCAGCCUCCCAGGUAGCUGGGAUUACAGGCGCCCACAACCACACCCUGCUAAUUUUUUCUAUUUUUAGUAGAGACGGGGUUUCACCCCAUUGACCAGGCUGGUCUCGAACUCUCGAGAUCCGCCCGUCUCAGCUUCCCAAAGUGCUGGGAUUAUAGGCAUGAGCCACCGCGCCGGGCCUGCUUUUUUUUUUUUUUUUUUUUUUUGCACUGGGCAUUAGUAAUACGGAAUAAAAGCCGUGUUUUAAACUGUAUUAAGUUGUAAGACUUUUCAGUACUUUCAAGUCUGCUUUCUUUCUGUUGCCCUUUUGUAGUUUUUAAAAAUAAAAGAUGCAAUUAUAAGCA